AUGCCUUGGGCUGUUCUCCUCCUCGCUCUCUUCACUCAGGCCAAGGGCGCCUGGGCCCAGUCUGCUCUGACUCAGCCUUCCUCAGUGCCUGGGGCUCUGGGACAGUCAGUCACCAUCUCCUGUGCUGGGACCAGAAAUGACAUUGGGCGUUAUAAUCGUGUGUCCUGGCUCCAGCAGCUCCCUGGCAAGACACCUAAGCUCCUGAUUUAUGAUGUCAGUUCCAGGCCCUCAGGGAUCCCUGAUCGUUUCUUUGGCUCCAAGUCAGGCAACACGGCCACCUUGACCAUCUCUGGUCUCAAGCCUGAGGAUGAGGCUGAGUAUCACCUUUGUUCAGUUAAAACUGGUGGUGCUUACCACAGUGGUGUAAGUUCAUAG